rnacentral:misc_RNA from 1 species
UUAAGUUCAGCGGGUAUCCCUACCUGAUCCGAGGUCAAACUUAGAAAGUUGGGGGGUUGCUGGCAAGCAUCCACCGGGACUCUGUAGCGAGGGGUUUAUUACUACGCUUAGAGCCAGAUGGCGCCGCCACUGAUUUAAGGCCUGCCGUUGCCGGCAGGGCCCAAUACCAAGCAGUGCUUGAGUGUUGUACUGACGCUCGA